rnacentral:rRNA from 1 species
CGGGACGGGUGAGUAAUGCUUGGGAAUCUAGCUUAUGGAGGGGGGUAACUACGGGAAACUGUAGCUAAUACCGCGUAAUAUCGAAAGAUUAAAGUGUGGGACCUUCGGGCCACAUGCCAUAGGAUGAGCCCAAGUGGGAUUAGGUAGUUGGUGAGGUAAAGGCUCACCAAGCCGACGAUCUCUAGCUGGUCUGAGAGGAUGACCAGCCACACUGGGACUGAGACGCGGCCCAG